UACGUAGGGACCAAGCGUUGUUCGGAUUUACUGGGCGUAAAGGGCUCGUAGGCGGCCAACUAAGUCAUACGUGAAAUCCCUCAGCUUAACUGGGGAACUGCGUGUGAUACUGGAUGGCUUGGAUUUGGGAGAGGGAUGCGGAAUUCCAGGUGUAGCGGUGAAAUGCGUAGAUAUCUGGAGGAACACCGGUGGCGAAGGCGGCAUCCUGGACCAAUAUUGACGCUGAGGAGCGAAAGCCAGGGGAGCAAACGGG
rnacentral:rRNA from 1 species